AGCGAACGCUGGCGGCAGGCCUAACACAUGCAAGUCGAACGGCUCUUCGGAGCAGUGGCGGACGGGUGAGUAACGCGUGGGAACGUGCCCUUUGGUUCGGAACAACACAGGGAAACUUGUGCUAAUACCGGAUGUGCCCUUCGGGGGAAAGAUUUAUCGCCAUUGGAGCGGCCCGCGUUGGAUUAGGUAGUUGGUGGGGUAAAGGCCCACCAAGCCUACGAUCCAUAGCUGGUCUGAGAGGAUGAUCAGCCACACUGGGACUGAGACACGGCCCAGACUCCUACGGGAGGCAGCAGUGGGGAAUCUUGCGCAAUGGGCGAAAGCUUGACGCAGCCAUGCCGCGGGAAGGAUGAAGGUCUUAGGAUUGUAAAAUUCUUUCACCGGGGAAGAUAAUGACGGUACCCGGAGAAGAAGCCCCGGCUAACUUCGUGCCAGCCGCCGCAGUAA
rnacentral:rRNA from 1 species